rnacentral:rRNA from 1 species
GACGAACGCUGGCGGCGUGCUUAACACAUGCAAGUCGAACGAAGAGCGACGGAAGCUUGCUUCUAUCAAUCUUAGUGGCGAACGGGUGAGUAACGCGUAAUCAACCUGCCCUUCAGAGGGGGACAACAGUUGGAAACGACUGCUAAUACCGCAUACGAUCUAAUCUCGGCAUCGAGGAUGGAUGAAAGGUGGCCUCUACAUGUAAGCUAUCACUGAAGGAGGGGAUUGCGUCUGAUUAGCUAGUUGGAGGGGUAACGGCCCACCAAGGCGAUGAUCAGUAGCGGGUCUGGGGGGAUGAACGGCCCAAUGGGGCUGGAGCCCCGCCCCAGACCCCUCGGGGGGGAGCCAUGGGGGAUUCUUCCGCAAUGGCAGAGAGGCUGACGGCAAACCGCCGCGGGGGUGAUGGCGCCCUUGGGGUUGUAAAGCUCGGUUAACCGGGACGAAGGCCUUUCUUGCGAAUAGUGAGAGGGUUUGACGUUACCGAAAUAAAAGCCCAGGCCAAACUCCGGC